UACGUAGGGUGCGAGCGUUGUCCGGAAUUACUGGGCGUAAAGAGCUCGUAGGCGGUUUGUCGCGUCUGCCGUGAAAGUCCGGGGCUCAACUCCGGAUCUGCGGUGGGUACGGGCAGACUAGAGUGAUGUAGGGGAGACUGGAAUUCCUGGUGUAGCGGUGAAAUGCGCAGAUAUCAGGAGGAACACCGGUGGCGAAGGCGGGUCUCUGGGCCGAUACUGACGCUGAGGAGCGAAAGCGUGGGGGAGCGAACAGG
rnacentral:rRNA from 1 species